GCUGCCAUCGGAGUCUGGGAUCCGCCCGCUCCCUCCCGCUCCGCCCAUCCGGUGAGGGAAGCUGAACCUAGCGGAGGUCCAGAACUGCUGGUCGUAGGAAGUGCAGUGCCGCCUUCUUGCCGGGUCCCCUCCUGUGUGCCCUGGAGCCUGGGACAAGGGUGACAGGCGCUCACGUGGGGGCAGAUGGAAUACGUAAUUUGUCACAGCAAUGAGAAAAGUAAUACACAAAUCCUCUGAAGAUGAGUGUGGUAACAAGGAAAAGAGGUGGGGAGAGACUCGUGCUCUUCUGAAGAGGACCACCCUCAGCAAUGCCUGGUAAUUCCCUUCUAACUAGAGGGGCCAGCCCAUCCCCAGGCAAAGGGUCUUGGAGGAUACUUGAAAUAAAUAUAUUGAAGCCUGGGACAAGAGAACCCUCCUUGCUUCCAGAGUCUGCUUUCAACAAGUUUAAACAACACAUGACAUUUCACCAAUAAAAUGUACAUAGAAGAGACACAAGAGAGAGAGGGAGGGGGGAUUUCUUUUUGUUCUGUUAGUGGAUAGCCAAUUUGGACUCCCAUUCCUAUGGAAGGCAGAUCUAUGUUCACACUGCUGGGUCAUAUACCUCUACUGUGGAAAUACUCCCAUAGACACAUCCAGAAAUGAUAUCAGCUAUCCAGACAUCCCUUAGUCCAGCCAACUUGAUACCUAAAAUUAACUAUCAAAACCUUCUUACAUUUAGAUCAAUGAUCCAUUAUGAGUAAAUUUUUUAUGGUGUGAGAUA